AGAGUUUGAUCCUGGCUCAGGACGAACGCUGGCGGCGUGCUUAACACAUGCAAGUCGAACGGAAAGGCCCUGCUUUUGUGGGGUGCUCGAGUGGCGAACGGGUGAGUAACACGUGAGUAACCUGCCCUUGACUUUGGGAUAACUUCAGGAAACUGGGGCUAAUACCGGAUAGGAGCUCCUGCUGCAUGGUGGGGGUUGGAAAGUUUCGGCGGUUGGGGAUGGACUCGCGGCUUAUCAGCUUGUUGGUGGGGUAGUGGCUUACCAAGGCUUUGACGGGUAGCCGGCCUGAGAGGGUGACCGGCCACAUUGGGACUGAGAUACGGCCCAGACUCCUACGGGAGGCAGCAGUGGGGAAUAUUGCACAAUGGGCGGAAGCCUGAUGCAGCAACGCCGCGUGCGGGAUGACGGCCUUCGGGUUGUAAACCGCUUUCGCCUGUGACGAAGCGUGAGUGACGGUAAUGGGUAAAGAAGCACCGGCUAACUACGUGCCAGCAGCCGCGGUAAUAAGGGCGAAUUC
rnacentral:rRNA from 1 species